CCUACGGGGGGCAGCAGUGAGGAAUAUUGGUCAAUGGUCGGGAGACUGAACCAGCCAAGCCGCGUGAGGGAUGAAGGUACAGAGUAUCGUAAACCUCUUUUGUCAGGGAACAACGGCGGGGACGUGUCCCCGGAUGAGUGUACCUGAAGAAAAAGCAUCGGCUAACUCCGUGCCAGCAGCCGCGGUAAUACGGAGGAUGCGAGCGUAAUCCGGAUUUAUUGGGUUUAAAGGGUGCGCCGGCGGUCUGUUAAGUCGGCGGGCAAAGCCCGGGGCUCAACCCCGGCCCGCCGUUGAAACUGGCAGUCUCGAGUUGGAGAGAGGUAUGCGGAAUGGGCGGUGUAGCGGUGAAAUGCAUAGAUAUCGCGCAGAACUCCGAUUGCGAAGGCAGCAUGCCGGCUCCACACUGACGCUGAGGCACGAAAGCGUGGGUAUCGAACAGGAUUAGAUACCCUAGUAGUC
rnacentral:rRNA from 1 species